rnacentral:rRNA from 1 species
CCUACGGGGGGCAGCAGUGAGGAAUAUUGGUCAAUGGUCGGGAGACUGAACCAGCCAAGCCGCGUGAGGGAUGAAGGUACAGAGUAUCGUAAACCUCUUUUGUCAGGGAACAAAGGCGGGGACGCGUCCCCGGAUGAGUGUACCUGAAGAAAAAGCAUCGGCUAACUCCGUGCCAGCAGCCGCGGUAAUACGGAGGAUGCGAGCGUUAUCCGGAUUUAUGGGGUUUAAAGGGUGCGCAGGCGGUCUGUUAGGUCAGCGGUCAAAGCCCGGGGCUCAACCCCGGCCCGCCGUUGAAACUGGCAGUCUCGAGUUGGAGAGAAGUAUGCAGAAUGCGCGGUGUAGCGGUGAAAUGCAUAGAGAUCGCGCAGAACUCCGAUUGCGAAGGCAGCUUACUAAACUGCCACUGACAUUGAUGCUCGAAAGUGUGGGUAUCAAACAGGAUUAGAUACCCGAGUAGUC